GAGCGCUGUAGCAAUACAGAGCGGCGCNACGGGUGAGUAACACGUGGGUAACCUGCCUCUAAGAUUGGGAUAACUCGUCGAAAGAUGAGCUAAUACCGGAUAAGACCACAGUUCCUGCGGGGACAGGGGUCAAAGGUAGCCUAUGCUUGCAAGCUAUCACUUAGAGAUGGGCCUGCGUACCAUUAGCUAGUUGGUAGGGUAACGGCCUACCAAGGCAAAGAUGGUUAGCUGGUCUGAGAGGAUGAUCAGUCACACUGGAACUGAGACACGGUCCAGACUCCUACGGGAGGCAGCAGUGGGGAAUAUUGGACAAUGGGCGAAAGCCUGAUCCAGCCAUGCCGCGUGUGUGAAGAAGGUCUUCGGAUUGUAAAGCACUUUAAGUUGGGAGGAAGGGUUGUAGAUUAAUACUCUGCAAUUUUGACGUUACCGACAGAAUAAGCACCGGCUAACUCUGUG
rnacentral:rRNA from 1 species